GCGCUGACGCUCAGAGCAUGCGCAGAUACUUUGCGUCCUUCCUUGGUGAGGCGUUUGGGGACCUGGAGCUGCUCAGGUCUUUAGAAUUAGAUGGGCCUGGGAUAAGCAGAAACUGAAGCUGAAAAGAUAAGGAUACCAUGAGGAAGGAGGGGCCUGGAGGGAGACAGUGUUGUGCACUGGUGCCAGUAGAGUCAGACAUUUUCAGAGCGUGCUCAUAGAACUGGGGAGGCUCUUCAUGAUGAGGAGAACAAAGGCAAAAAAGAUCAGAGGUCCACAGCCACUGGAGCCAGAGCAUCCAUGGACGUCGGAGGCAGGCGGGCGCAGCAGGGCUCCCGAGCUGCAGCCUCUCUUUCCCCAGAUGCCCUGGAGAUUUCAUCUUAAUUAACCACGAGAGCUAUAGCACUGAGGAUUGAAUUUUUCGUGAGAGAGCACACGCCCGCUUUUUGUCUGCUUCCCUUCCUCCGGUCCCCACAAUGGCAUCGAAAUAAAAAAAAGAAAGAAAGAAAGAAAAAGCAACGAACACGCAGUCUCACCUACAUGUGCCGGGGACAAAGUCUGGCGGAGGACCCAGACGGAGUCAGGAAGCCGCCUCCCGGGAGCAGCCAUCCGCUGGGAGGCUGGGGACCUGCCUCGGCGU